GGACCUCCUCUGUUGAUAAGCUAGUGGGGACUUGAGGAGUGAGGCUGGAAGUCCAGCCUCCCUGCCAACACCUCAGGGAUGAAGGAGAAAAACAAGGAGAGAAAAAUCUAAACCCAGCAGAAGAGAAAGUUUAAGAAAGCGGUCGUCGCCAAUACCAAAAUUAGCUAUGAUAUUCAGGAAGAAAAAAAUGGAAACACGAUAACCACAGUCAAUAAAGACCAAGGCCACAUUCCAUUGACCAGAGCUCAGCCACGCGCCACACCUGGCUAAAGAGACUCUGGCUGAAGAAUUCCCUGAAUAUUUUAAUGUAGCUCUAGGUUAUAACACAGAACAACCACAAGGUGGCAGAAGAACUCCAUUCUUGUAAAUCUCUUAGUUGCUUCUUUAUUUCAUCUUCCCUAUUCCAUCUAAUGUUCCCUGAAUUUUACUAUUUUGUUGGUUUGAAAAUAUGUGUGACUUACGUCCUUUAAAGGAUUUGGUUCGUAAGGUUUUGAAUAGACUGGAAUAUAAAACAUUUAUAGAAAAGAAAAAUACCUACAGUAUGAUGU
rnacentral:lncRNA from 1 species